GUGGGCUUGGAUAAUUAAUAUGAAAGGCCCAAUUGAAAUAAUUGAUUAGCUGGGCUCAAAUAAAUAAAUCAAUCAAGGCCCAGCUAAGAUAAUACAACAGCCCAAUUAAAAUAGAAUGCAGUUGGACUUUAAUUUAAAUAAUUCGGCCCAAAGAAGUAAAAUAAUAAAGGCCCAUCUGAAUAAAUAACACAAGGCCCAAUUGAAAUAAAAUAGAACAUGGCCCAAAUUAAUAAUAAAGCAAGGCCCAUUUCUUCAAAUUUUAAUCGGCCCAUUCGAUUCUCUCUCUCUCAUCUCCAUCUGUCGGCCUCUCUCUCUUUUCUCAAGCAUCAGCCGACCUAUCUCUCUUUCUCUCAUCAGUCGCGGUUCUCCCUCAAAUUCAAUCGACAUCCGACGCCGCCGCUUCCUUCUCCGGCUGUUCGAGCUGCCGGCGUCCAAUCGUUGACCGCGCCGCCUCCUUUCCCCAAAACCCCUCUUGCUGACAGUUCGUCCAAGGCAAGAAGGGCGAGCCCUAGUUCACGAAUUGAAGGUCGCCGUCGCCGCUGCCGUACUCUCCGUCGGAGUCGCCGCCGCGGUUCCUCUCUAUCAAGCUCGGCGUCUACUUCUUCCUAUCUGCCCCUGGAGAAACAGAACGAAAAGCCCUAAUCUCGGCCUACAACUAUCGCCGCCGCCGCCGCCGCGGUUCUCUGGCCGUCAAUCAGUGAAGCCGGCGUCGCCUCGCCUUCUUCUCCGAGCCGUUCGGGUCUCGAUUCAGUCGUCAAGGUGGGCAGGGAGUUGAGCCCUGAUUCCUUUCCACCUCCGCCGCUCUCCUUGCCGUCGAAACUCUGCCGCCGCUGCGACUGGAUGGCCGGCGAGAUUUGCCGCAUUGCUGGACUGUUUUGAGGCGCCGCUGCCUCUCCGGCGUUCGGCCCUUCCUUUUCGGUCAUUCGAGCUCCGACAAGCAGCAAGGUUCUGCCUUGUCGCGCCGUCGCCGUUCCGACCGAGCGGAGGUGCGUCGUUUCCGAUUCAGAGCAGGCAGUCGCCCACUCCUCACACUAAAGCUAAGUAAAACUCGACCCUCUUUCUAUCGGCUCUCAACGCGAAUUAACUACAAGGCGUAAUCUCUUGUUGUUUGUAUAAACUCAGUUAUGCGUAUUUAAACUACAUAUAAACUGCCAUUUGCUCAUGAGAGUAUAUUCGGUGAUUUUGCUAAGUUCUAGAGCGUGAAGUAUCCAUGAAUGAAUCCUGAUAGUUGUAAUGCCUUAGCUUGAUCAUGUUGACAUGAAUACGAACUGGUAUUGAAUACUUGGGAUAGUGAAAUACCUUGAAUCUGUUCAACUGAUUGGUUGGUGAUUUGUUGCUGAGUUUAACGAACUGGAACGAAUGAACUGAACUGAAAUAAUUUGAUUUUGUUGUCUCAAUAAUUUCAGGUAGAUAAAUGGAAGAAGAUGAAGCAUUACAGCAGGUUUUACCUUGAGACUUUGGCUGUACGAAGUGGAGGAUUCUAUGCUCUUCGGACAGCAAAGUGAUAGAGAAUGUGGUGUUGUUUGGCUGGAGUAGAGACUAAGAGGGAAUGGUUGUUGGCUGAACACUUGAGCACUCUACGGAGAUGGUACAGAGGCUGAAAUUCAGGGAGGAAGUGGAGGAAUUAAAGCCAAAGCUUACAUCCUUUGAAGUCGGCAGCAGUAAAUGAAGUCUUUCUUUCUUUUGGUGAAGUUUUUAGUGUAGAAUGGGAGUGGUAUGAAGGAAGUUUGCUGCUGAAUUAUUAAAGGAGUGAAUUGGUAGCUAAUCUUGAAUAUCUAGUCCUCUAUGCCAUGUGAAAGCCUUGAGAGAGAAUAGGUAAAGUUGUGGCUGAUUGACAGCUUGUUUGUUCCCACACGCAUGCCUUUCCUUUUCUUUCUUGUUGCUGCCGUAAUAAUAGGAAUGUAGGGAGUAGGCUAGGAAUUGAGUGAUGUUUGUAAUAGAUAGUGUAGAGUUGUGGGUGUGACUAAUGAAAUUCUUCAGUGUUGGUCAUGGUCAUUUUAUAUCUUACUAUUAGUAUCUGCAAUACUAAUUCUAGUCUUGCUAUUUAAUGGUGUAUUUGGGUAUCUGAAAAUGUAAUACAAUCUCUAGUUUGCUACUAUACUGAAUACUCUAAUAAAUCUUGUUAUUCGAUA